CCUACGGGGGGCAGCAGUGGGGAAUAUUGCACAAUGGGCGCAAGCCUGAUGCAGCCAUGCCGCGUGUGUGAAGAAGGCCUUCGGGUUGUAAAGCACUUUCAGCGGGGAGGAAGGCGUUAAGGUUAAUAACCUUGUCGAUUGACGUUACCCGCAGAAGAAGCACCGGCUAACUCCGUGCCAGCAGCCGCGGUAAUACGGAGGGUGCAAGCGUUAAUCGGAAUUACUGGGCGUAAAGCGCACGCAGGCGGUCUGUCAAGUCGGAUGUGAAAUCCCCGGGCUCAACCUGGGAACUGCGUUCGAAACUGGCAGGCUAGAGUCUUGUAGAGGGGGGUAGAAUUCCAGGUGUAGCGGUGAAAUGCGUAGAGAUCUGGAGGAAUACCGGUGGCGAAGGCGGCCCCCUGGACAAAGACUGACGCUCAGGUGCGAAAGCGUGGGGAGCAAACAGGAUUAGAUACCCGGGUAGUC
rnacentral:rRNA from 1 species